CCAACAGGGUCCUUCCACAACCACAUACUUAUGCCAGUAAAAGCCACAGCUUUUCUCCUCCAAUCCAAGAAGCCUGGACUGCAGUCACCAUCUCAACACACCAACCAAGAGAAAGGCGGAUGGCUCAAUUCAAUAUGGAAAAUUGCACAAUAAAAGUUCCAGGACAUGAAGGCUGCAUACUGUGAACGUCAACCUUCAGGGCACCGUCCUGCGCAGAAGACUUUCUACCCUAAGAGGGAUGGCUGACCGCAGACACUCACAACCAGCACAGACGCCUCCAACCUCAAACUAGGCCCUUCACAGUUGCUGCACUUACCCACCUUCCCAGAGUUUUUGUGUGGUAAUGACAACUGUAAAUAUAGUAUAAAGUAAUGUAUCUAGUGUCAUGUGUAAUACAUUGUUUAAAUUGUCCAUACAUUUCAAUGACAGUAAAUAUUGGUGGACACAAUUUGACUGUGUGGCUUUUUUUAAUUCAUUCUCUGACUGAAAAUGCAUGGUUACAUAAUUUAUAUAUUCCACAAGACCACAAUCAGAAGAACAUUUGACAGGUUGCAUUUAUUUUCUAUGUAUGAAAAAAACAAUGGUAACAAGACAAACGU